rnacentral:rRNA from 1 species
CCUACGGGUGGCAGCAGUGGGGAAUAUUGCACAAUGGGGGAAACCCUGAUGCAGCGACGCCGCGUGAGUGAAGAAGUAUCUCGGUACGUAAAGCUCUAUCAGCAGGGAAGAAAAUGACGGUACCUGACUAUGAAGCCCCGGCUAACUACGUGCCAGCAGCCGCGGUAAUACGCAGGGGGCAAGCGUUAUACGGAUUUACUGGGUGUAAAGGGAGCGUAGACGGCGAUGCAAGUCUGAAGUGAAAGGCGGGGGCCCAACCCCCGGACUGCUUUUGAAACUGUAUGGCUGGAGUGCAGGAGAGGUAGGUGGAAUGCCUAGUGUAGCGGUGAAAUGCGUAGAUAUUAGGAAGAACACCAGUGGCGAAGGCGGCUUACUGGACUAUAACUGACGUUGAGGCUCGAAAGCGUGGGGAGCAAACAGGAUUAGAUACCCGAGUAGUC